rnacentral:rRNA from 1 species
AAAUUGAAGAGUUUGAUCAUGGCUCAGAUUGAACGCUGGCGGCAGGCCUAACACAUGCAAGUCGAACGGUAACAGGAAGCAGCUUGCUGCUUUGCUGACGAGUGGCGGACGGGUGAGUAAUGUCUGGGAAACUGCCUGAUGGAGGGGGAUAACUACUGGAAACGGUGGCUAAUACCGCAUAAUGUCGCAAGACCAAAGAGGGGGACCUUCGGGCCUCUUGCCAUCAGAUGUGCCCAGAUGGGAUUAGCUUGUUGGUGAGGUAACGGCUCACCAAGGCGACGAUCCCUAGCUGGUCUGAGAGGAUGACCAGCCACACUGGAACUGAGACACGGUCCAGACUCCUACGGGAGGCAGCAGUGGGGAAUAUUGCACAAUGGGCGCAAGCCUGAUGCAGCCAUGCCGCGUGUAUGAAGAAGGCCUUCGGGUUGUAAAGUACUUUCAGCGGGGAGGAAGGUGUUGUGGUUAAUAACCGCAGCAAUUGACGUUACCCGCAGAAGAAGCACCGGCUAACUCCGUGCCAGCAGCCGCGGUAAUACGGAGGGUGCAAGCGUUAAUCGGAAUUACUGGGCGUAAAGCGCACGCAGGCGGUCUGUCAAGUCGGAUGUGAAAUCCCCGGGCUCAACCUGGGAACUGCAUUCGAAACUGGCAGGCUUGAGUCUUGUAGAGGGGGGUAGAAUUCCAGGUGUAGCGGUGAAAUGCGUAGAGAUCUGGAGGAAUACCGGUGGCGAAGGCGGCCCCCUGGACAAAGACUGACGCUCAGGUGCGAAAGCGUGGGGAGCAAACAGGAUUAGAUACCCUGGUAGUCCACGCCGUAAACGAUGUCUACUUGGAGGUUGUGCCCUUGAGGCGUGGCUUCCGGAGCUAACGCGUUAAGUAGACCGCCUGGGGAGUACGGCCGCAAGGUUAAAACUCAAAUGAAUUGACGGGGGCCCGCACAAGCGGUGGAGCAUGUGGUUUAAUUCGAUGCAACGCGAAGAACCUUACCUGGUCUUGACAUCCACGGAAGUUUUCAGAGAUGAGAAUGUGCCUUCGGGAACCGUGAGACAGGUGCUGCAUGGCUGUCGUCAGCUCGUGUUGUGAAAUGUUGGGUUAAGUCCCGCAACGAGCGCAACCC